UCUCCACUUCCCUUUCUGCAAUAUGUCUAAAUGAUAUUUUUGGUUUGAACAAGGGUCUUGUAGCACCUUGCAAUGACACAUGUCAGUUUAGGAAUCCCUUCUUUCCCGGGAGGAAGGAAGAUGGGCACCCUGCCAAUGACCUAAAGCCCAUGUGUGCACAAUCCCUAGCUCAGCCGGUGAUUUUCCAGAGCAGCGCUGUUCCUCGAGUACCAGAUCUCUCCCAGACUCUUUCAUCACCCAUUUACACACACGCUCCUCCUAACCUCCCAAUUUCAUCCAUGUUAUGUGAACAUUGCUUGUUUGACUUUCUGCAAACACUUGGAUUUUCUUUUGAAGGCAAAUAUAGUUCAUAUUUAUCAAACUUACAGUUCGCUUCCCUAUAUUUUCUAGCUUUCUUUGAAGUGAAAUGUAGGCCAUCUGGCAACUUGUAGUGAGUGAAUUGUGUGUAGAGAUGGCACAUGUUAUUUAUGGACCAAGGAAGUGGAGAGCUGGUGUACCUCUUCUAUCCCUCUCUUUCCCAACAGGGGCAACCUGGAAAUUCACACAUUGAGAUGGCAGCAUCAUCAGAUGGAAGAAACUUGUGUCCCUGAGUCACCAGAUGGAGAGGUACUCUGGCCAACUUACAUUGGACAUCAUUGCUAUGAUCCAGAGAGGCUUCAUAAAUCUGCAUUAGUGGUGGUUCCAUCCUUAGUGCUUUCGUGGCAAACUCUCAUCAAGGCAGCAAAAGGACUAAAUGAAGUACAAGGAGGACUGUGACUUUAUUUUGUCAUUUACCUGACCCCCUGGUAAACCAAGAUGGACUGGCAAGAAGAGGUACUAAGGCUGCCAGGUCCUUUCUGGGCUAGGACAUCAUCCCAUCAAUAAUGAGGCUCCCAACACUCAAGCUGGAUAGCAAAAUCUCUAAAGAGGUUCAUGGUGUGAACCCCUGAUGUGAUAAUCCUCAUAAUGAGCUGUGUCCCCAACCCAACACACUGUAGUUGAACAUCGCUGCUCUGGAGUGUGGGAGUUGACAAAAAUCUAGCAUCCUCCAAGUUAGAAGACUUUGAUUUUAUAUGGUAGCUCACCUUUACUUAACCUCUAAGACACAAGUAACCUUGAACUCCGUUUUCUCUUCUGCAGUGCCUCUGUAUUUCCCUCUAGGGCACUAGGUUUUCUAAUGGAUUAAAUAAAAUA